GUACUAUAAUAAGAUGACGUCAAUUUCUAAAAAUAUCCCAUGACAAAUUACAGAUGUCUUUAUUGAUCUUUAUUUGGGGGUUAUAAUACUUUUAUACUUUUGAAUAAAUUAGAGACGUCGUUCAUGCCUGAGCCACCUGUUGGGGGUUAUAAUUUUUAUCGGUUAUUUUCUAUUGAGUACGGGGUAUAAAAGCCAAGUCAAUGUAAAAGACCGUAUACACAAUCUGUGAGUUCAGAUAUACCGAUAGAAAGCAGUCGUUACAAGAAAUAUAACUUAUGUACACGCGUUCAAAUAAGCAACUCCUCAUCCUGAAUUAAUGGUAAGAAUCGUCUCAAAAAUAUUUAAAGAAAAAUAUUUUUGUAUUAUUCACAAUUUAACAGCUG
rnacentral:lncRNA from 1 species